rnacentral:piRNA from 1 species
UGUUUGGGAGCCAAUGAUUGGAAUCAAA